AAGUCGUAACAAGGUUUCCGUAGGUGAACCUGCGGAAGGAUCAUUCAUAAUAAGUGUUUUAUGGCACUUUUUAAAUCCAUAUCCACCUUGUGUGCAAUGUCAGGGUUGUUCUCUCCUUUCUGGAGAGGAUGACCCAAACAUCAACUUAAUCUUCGAACCAUUUGUCUGAAAAAUAUUAUGAAUAAAAUAAUUCAAAAAUACAA
rnacentral:misc_RNA from 1 species